GAAGCAAAAGAGUUCAGGGGAAUCCAGCAGAAGACAAGAUCAGAGAUGUGCAAAGCAGGGGACAGAUCAUGAUAGCUUCUCGUUACAGUUUGGGUUU